rnacentral:rRNA from 1 species
UGAGGAAUAUUGGUCAAUGGGCGCAGGCCUGAACCAGCCAAGUCGCGUGAGGGAAGGCGGUCCUACGGAUUGUAAACCUCUUUUGUCGGGGAGUAACGUGCGGGACGCGUCCCGUAUUGAGAGUACCCGAAGAAAAAGCAUCGGCUAACUCCGUGCCAGCAGCCGCGGUAAUACGGAAGGUCCGGGCGUUAUCCGGAUUUAUUGGGUUUAAAGGGAGCGUAGGCCGGAGAUUAAGCGUGUUGUGAAAUGUAGACGCUCAACGUCUGCACUGCAGCGCG